rnacentral:rRNA from 1 species
AAUCAACACUGGCGGCGCGCUUAACACAUGCAAGUCGAACGAGAAAGGGAGCAAUCCUGAGUAAAGUGGCGCACUGGUGAGUAACACGUGGGUAAUUUACCUUCUUGUGGGGAAUAACCCUGGGAAACUAGGGCUAAUACCGCAUACGUCCGAGAGGAGAAAGCCGAAAGGCGCAGGAAGAGAAGCCCGCGGCCGAUUAGCUAGUUGGUGAGGUAAUGGCUCACCAAGGCGACGAUCGGUAGCCGGCCUGAGAGGGCACACGGCCACACUGGCACUGAAACACGGGCCAGACUCCUACGGGAGGCAGCAGUGGGGAAUCUUGCACAAUGGGGGAAACCCUGAUGCAGCGACGCCGCGUGAACGAUGAAGCCCUUCGGGGUGUAAAGUUCUUUCGACGGGGACGAUAAUGACGGUACCCGGAGAAGAAGCUGCGGCU